rnacentral:rRNA from 1 species
UACAGAGGUCUCGAGCGUUAGGCGGAAUCACUGGGCUUAAAGCGUGUGUAGGCGGAUCGGUAAGUACCUUGUGAAAUCCCACAGCUUAACUGUGGAACUGCUUGGUAUACUGCCAGUCUUGAGCCAGCUAGGGGCUACCGGAACAAAUGGUGGAGCGGUGAAAUGCGUAGAUAUCUGGAGGAACACCGGAGGCGAAAGCGGUCCACUGGGCAACUUCUGACGCUGAGGUGCGAAAGCUAGGGUAGCAAACGGG